rnacentral:rRNA from 1 species
AUGCACGCUGGCGGCGUGCCUCAUCCCUGCAAGUCGAGCGAACGGACGAGAAGCUUGCUUCUCUGAUGUUAGCGGCGGACGGGUGAGUAACACGUGGAUAACCUACCUAUAAGACUGGGAUAACUUCGGGAAACCGGAGCUAAUACCGGAUAAUAUUUUGAACCGCAUGGUUCAAAAGUGAAAGACGGUCUUGCUGUCACUUAUAGAUGGAUCCGCGCUGCAUUAGCUAGUUGGUAAGGUAACGGCUUACCAAGGCAACGAUGCAUAGCCGACCUGAGAGGGUGAUCGGCCACACUGGAACUGAGACACGGUCCAGACUCCUACGGGAGGCAGCAGUAGGGAAUCUUCCGCAAUGGGCGAAAGCCUGACGGAGCAACGCCGCGUGAGUGAUGAAGGUCUUCGGAUCGUAAAACUCUGUUAUUAGGGAAGAACAUAUGUGUAAGUAACUGUGCACAUCUUGACGGUACCUAAUCAGAAAGCCACGGCUAACUACGUG